AAAAAGGAGGCUUAGACAACUCUUCGGGUAGCUUGAGUGUACAAAACAGAGGGGAAACACACCAAUGAAGUUGCCCUGCGCGUGGAGGUACUACUGGCUUUAGU
rnacentral:lncRNA from 1 species